rnacentral:rRNA from 1 species
CAGUCGCCGCGGGAAUACGAAGGGGGCUAGCGUUGUUCGGAUUUACUGGGCGUAAAGCGCACGUAGGCGGAUCGAUCAGUCCGGGGUGAAAUCCCAAAGCUCAACUCUGGAACAGCCUUUGAUACUGUCGAUCUGGAGUAUGGAAGAGGUGAGUGGAAUUCCGAGUGUAGAGGUGAAAUUCGUAGAUAUCGGAAGGAACACCUGUGGCGAAAGCGGCUCACUGGACCAUUUCUGACGCUGAUGCACGAAAGCUAGGGGAGCAAACAGGAUUAGAUACCCCAGUAGUCCCUGUCUCUUAUAA